rnacentral:rRNA from 1 species
AUACGGAGAGUGCAAGCGUUAUCCGGAAUCAUUGGGUUUAAAGGGUCCGCAGGUGGAUUAAUAAGUCAGUGGUGAAAUCCUCUCGCUCAACGAGAGAACUGCCAUUGAAACUGUUAGUCUUGAAUUCGGUCGAAGUAGGCGGAAUGUGUCAUGUAGCGGUGAAAUGCAUAGAUAUGACACAGAACACCGAUAGCGAAGGCAGCUUACUAGACCUGGAUUGACGCUCAUGGACGAAAGCGUGGGGAGCGAACAGGAUUAGAAACCCCAGUAGUCC